AAUAUACUCCCUCCGUCCCAAAANNNUUGUCUUAGAUUUGUCUAAAUAUGAAUGUAUCUAGUCAUGCUAUAGUAUUUAGAUACAUCUAUUUUUAGACAAACCUAAGACAAGAAUNNNGGGACGGAGGGAGUACAUC
rfam:Hordeum vulgare subsp. vulgare, WGS project CAJW01000000 data, contig: morex_contig_40643